rnacentral:rRNA from 1 species
UGGGGAAUUUUGGACAAUGGGCGCAAGCCUGAUCCAGCCAUGCCGCGUGGGUGAAGAAGGCCUUCGGGUUGUAAAGCCCUUUCGGCUGGGACGAAAAGGUCCGCGCCAACACCGCGGAUCCAUGACGGUACCAGCAGAAGAAGCACCGGCUAACUACGUGCCAGCAGCCGCGGUAAUACGUAGGGUGCAGGCGUUAAUCGGAAUUACUGGGCGUAAAGCGUGCGCAGGCGGUUUGCUAAGACAGGUGUGAAAUCCCCGGGCUUAACCUGGGAACUGCGCUUGUAACUGGCAGGCUGGAGUGUGGCAGAGGGGGGUGGAAUUCCACGUGUAGCAGUGAAAUGCGUAGAGAUGUGGAGGAACACCGAUGGCGAAGGCAGCCCCCUGGGCUAACACUGACGCUCAUGCACGAAAGCGUGGGGAGCAA